UACGAAGGGGGCUAGCGUUGCUCGGAAUCACUGGGCGUAAAGCGCACGUAGGCGGCUUUCUAAGUCAGGGGUGAAAUCCUGGAGCUCAACUCCAGAACUGCCUUUGAUACUGGAGAGCUCGAGUCCGGAAGAGGUGAGUGGAACUCCGAGUGUAGAGGUGAAAUUCGUAGAUAUUCGGAAGAACACCAGUGGCGAAGGCGGCACACUGGCCCAUUACUGACGCUGAGGCUCGAAAGCGUGGGGAGCAAACAGG
rnacentral:rRNA from 1 species